UCUCGGUUAGUGUAGUGGUUAUCACGCUGAACUCACACUUCAGAGGCCCUGGGUUCGACCCCCAGACUGAGAA
rnacentral:tRNA from 1 species